CGUAGGGUGCGAGCGUUAAUCGGAAUUACUGGGCGUAAAGCGUGCGCAGGCGGUUCGUUAAGUUCGUCGUGAAAGCCCCGGGCUCAACCUGGGAAUGGCGAUGGAAACUGGCGGGCUGGAGUGCGGCAGAGGGGGUGGAAUUCCACGUGUAGCAGUGAAAUGCGUAGAGAUGUGGAGGAACACCGAUGGCGAAGGCAGCCCCCUGGGCCGACACUGACGCUCAGGCACGAAAGCGUGGGGAGCAAACAGGAUUAGAUACCCUGGUAGUCCACGCCCUAAACGAUGGCAACUGGGUGUCGGGGAAGCGAUUCCUUGGUACCGUAGCUAACGCGUGAAGUUGCCCGCCUGGGGAGUACGGCCGCAAGGUUA
rnacentral:rRNA from 1 species